CAGCAAGACGGGGCUCGUGCGAGUGUCAGCGUGUGCGGGGAGUGCGUAUCCGUGGGUGCGCGUCUGCGGGUGGCCAUACGUGUCGGGUGAGGGCGUGGGUGCGCAGGGCACGCGCGUUUCGGGCGGUGCCAGGAGGUGCCUGAUCCCCCCGGGGGGAUACUCCCGCUCCCCACGUCGUGCCUUAGAAGAGGGGUUGAUAAUCCUGCGGGAGGGGAGCGGGGAGAGCUGCCUGCGCGCAGAUGGGAGCGGAACCUCUAAAGUGAUUAGCUCUUCUAGCAUUGCAUUUUUGACGCACAUGGUUAAGAGCGCUUGGCGCCAGCUUGGUGAAGUCCCUGUAGUAACCAGCGUCUAGGAUCGCUUUGCAUUCACCAAAAUAUCUCCCCUUCGGUCGGGGGUGGGGGUGGAAAGGAGAAGGGAGGAGGAGAGAGGAAAGGAAGCGGGAGUAAUGCAUUCAAAGAAGAUGUAGGGAAAAGACAAGGGCGGGGGUGGGGGGAGCGUGAUGUAUUUCAAGGAACCAAGAGCUUAGCUGCCCGCGCAGCGCUCGCCUCGGCUGCGCAGCGAGAUUUCUCGAGAGCUCUGCUCAGGACCGGGGCCUGGGCUCCCUCCCGCCUCCAGCCGCAACGGGAACCUCAGAACCUUCCCCUUACGGAACCCACAACAAACGCCCGAAGUAGUUGUUGUUUGUUGGUGGAACGGCACGCAGAAACUUGGCCGCAAUUUGCCCCAAGCAGGCCGCAGCUGUCUGCCGGGGACCGUGAGGUGCCCGCGGACUCUCGCAGGACAAGCGCAGCCGCUCCCAGAGCCGCCUUGCCCCGCUCCCCGCGCCCGCCCCGCCGGUACGCGCCCUCGGGGCCGCUGUGGAGGACGGAGCCGUUGGUGCCCUCCGCGCCCGCCCCGCACUUUGCGCAGCGCUCGGCACCCACCCGCGCGGCGGCCCGCGGAGGGAAAUGAAGCGUUCGCCGCUUAUGAUUUCCAAUGUCAGCGUCUGGCUGAUGGCGUGCAAACUUCCGCCAGUUCCGAGUGACCUCCCCGACGAAGCCCCCUGGAGACUCGUAUUAUGAAGGGAGGCUGCACUAAUCUAAGAUCAAAAGCGGGAAGGUGCGAACAGUCUUUGUCUCCCUUCGGCCGCCUCGUUCCCCCUCCUGUGUGUGAUAAAUCUACCCUGGCGCCGACUGCGCGCUGGAUGAUUAAUUUGCAAGCAAACAAAAGGGGACCUGAUGGCCAGCCAUCUUAGUUAAAUAUUGGCCAGUGCUUCCAGCUACUUGUUAGCCGCCUCUUUGCCAGAAAUAAAUAAAUAGGCGACGCGCGGAAAUAAAUAAAUAAGGAAGUCCGCAAAAACGAAGAGCGAAAGGGGAGGAAAGAGAGUAAGGCAGAAAAAAAAAAAAAAAAAGAAAAAGAAAAAGAAAAGAAAGAAAGAAAGAAAAGAAAAGAAAAAAGAAAGGGAAAAAAAAAAAGAAAAAGAUCAGAGCGAAAGGCCGGGAGCCGAGCGGAGGUGGGAACGGGGCCGUGGCGGGGGGAGGCCGGGUGAUAGCACGCCGAGAUAGCCGGCUGCCCCGGGCCCGUCUGCAGGCCGCGCUGCACCAAGGCCGACACUAUCUUAGCGCUUCAAAGAGCCGUGAAAGGUCCCCGCUGGCUCCCCGAGCCGCGGCUCUCUAAUCUCGGAGCGCAGAAGCCAAAGGCCGGGCCGGGGGGAGCGGCUCGCAGGGCCCCCAGCAUCUCUGGCCACUUCCCCAGCCAGCAACAUCUCUGCUUUUUCCCCGGUUCAAUGCAGGCCGGAGGGAAAGCAGAGCUUCCCUGGUUGCUGAGCGGCUGCGAGAGCUUCGCUCGCUCAGAUUUCGCCCUCCUAAGCAACUUUUUAGCGUCUGCACGAGAGAUCGGGGCGUGCGGCAAGCCUCCCCCGUGGCCCGAAGAGCCAGCUGAAGGGAGAAGGCAGGAGGAAAAGAAUGGCAGCGCGACUGCGGAGCCCACACGUCCUCUCCCAAGCCUGCGGGAGCCGCUCCAAGGCGUGUGUGCGUGCUGCGAGCCCCGUGAGGGAGCGGGGUCAGCACGCACCACAGCCCCGCACACCGAACCAGAGUGACUCCGUCCUCUCGUUGCGUUUCCUUAUGGCACUGCAGGUCCGAGCAUCCCUCCUCCCAAGCACCUCCAUCUCCUCUAGCCGCAGCCUCCGCUCUGCUCCCAGCCCUCGGAAGGCAACACGCAGCCGUGGCCGGGCUAUGUUUAUCCGAAAUAAAAUGCAGUGGGCUCGUUUACUUUGGCAGCUUUGCCGUAAAUACUCGGGGGGCGGCGAUGACGCGCUUAUUCAGAGCGCUGCUCCCCCGCCUGUGCGGGCCCUUCUCGAUCCCAGAGAAAGGUGUCAGGAGCUGGGGCCGGUGCUGGCACUGCUCCAUCCCAGAGCGGCACUGCAGGCCGCGGGCACAAUGAAACGGGUCCCUAUGGGGCGAGUCUGUACACUCAGACCUCAUGAACUCCUGCGGGGGAGGGAAGAGGGUCACCGCGGCAGCUCUUUGCCUUCCCUUCGGCAGAGGGAACAGCCGGCACUCGCCGCCUGAAUUUUAGCGAAAGCCUGACCUGAACGCUUUGCAAAAUAAC
ensembl:lncRNA